GAUGAACGCUGGCGGCGUGCCUAAUACAUGCAAGUCGAGCGAACAGACGAGGAGCUUGCUCCUCUGACGUUAGCGGCGGACGGGUGAGUAACACGUGGAUAACCUACCUAUAAGACUGGGAUAACUUCGGGAAACCGGAGCUAAUACCGGAUAAUAUAUUGAACGGCAUGUUUAAAUAGUGAAAGACGGUUUUGCUGUCACUUAUAGAUGGAUCCGCGCCGCAUUAGCUAGUUGGUAAGGUAACGGCUUACCAAGGCAACGAUGCGUAGCCGACCUGAGAGGGUGAUCGGCCACACUGGAACUGAGACACGGUCCAGACUCCUACGGGAGGCAGCAGUAGGGAAUCUUCCGCAAUGGGCGAAAGCCUGACGGAGCAACGCCGCGUGAGUGAUGAAGGUCUUCGGAUCGUAAAACUCUGUUAUUAGGGAAGAACAAAUGUGUAAGUAACUAUGCACGUCUUGACGGUACCUAAUCAGAAAGCCACGGCUAACUACGUG
rnacentral:rRNA from 1 species